GAUGAACGCUGGCGGCGUGCCUAAUACAUGCAAGUCGAGCGAACAGAUGAGGAGCUUGCUCCUCUGACGUUAGCGGCGGACGGGUGAGUAACACGUGGAUAACCUACCUAUAAGACUGGGAUAACUUCGGGAAACCGGAGCUAAUAUCGGAUAAUAUAUUGAACCGCGUGGUUCAAUAGUGAAAGACGGUUUUGCUGUCACUUAUAGAUGGAUCCGCGCCGCAUUAGCUAGUUGGUAAGGUAACGGCUUACCAAGGCAACGAUGCGUAGCCGACCUGAGAGGGUGAUCGGCCACACUGGAACUGAGACACGGUCCAGACUCCUACGGGAGGCAGCAGUAGGGAAUCUUCCGCAAUGGGCGAAAGCCUGACGGAGCAACGCCGCGUGAGUGAUGAAGGUCUUCGGAUCGUAAAACUCUGUUAUUGGGGAAGAACAAAUGUGUAAGUAACUAUGCACGUCUUGACGGUACCUAAUCAGAAAGCCACGGCUAACUACGUG
rnacentral:rRNA from 1 species